rnacentral:piRNA from 1 species
GACUUCUGUUCAACGUGACCUUCGGUGA